rnacentral:rRNA from 1 species
GGUAACGGCCUACCAAGGCUACGAUGGGUAACCGGCCUGAGAGGGUGACCGGUCACACUGGGACUGAGAUACGGCCCAGACUCCUACGGGAGGCAGCAGCUUGGAAUUUUUCGCAAUGGGCGCAAGCCUGACGGAGCGACACCGCGUGAGUGAGGAAGGCCUUCGGGUCGUAAAGCUCUUUUAGGGGGGAAGAAAAAGCACGGUGAUAAUACCGCCGUGCCUUGACGUACCCCCAGAAAAAGCCACGCUAACU